CCAUAGCUUAAGGUUAAAUGGGCGAAUUAGGCCACAACUUUAUUGAAUUCAGGAAUGAGAGGCAUUGGCUUAGGCAUUGGUCCUAACGACUAUCCGGCUCCAGCCCAUUUGCUGGAGACACGGGGAAGGGUUAACACUAUAUCGGGGGAGUCUCCUGCCAAGGCACGUCGACUAGGAGCUCCCCCGGGUCACCGCUCAGGGGCGUGCCUUUGGCCCACACCUCCAUAGGCUUCGGACAGGGCCACGCCCCCCGGAGUCCUUUAACGGACCACCCUUCGCUCACUGGGGGGAGGUGAUGGCGUUCCUCCCCCACACACAUCCUCUUAACCCCUUCUUACCAAUGCCUACCGCCAAUGCCGAAGAGUUGUGACGAGUUGCUACGAGGUAGGCGAAAAACCAAAUGGCUGUAAAUUGCCAAUUGGGAAAAAUUCCUACCAUGCCCCAUGUGGCGACAGACCGAAGUCCAUAGCAAAGUCAGAGACCUACCUAAAGCCCACCUAAAGGGAGGGAGGGUGGGAAAACGUGGGGGCUAGCCGGCGAAAGAGGGCGAGCCCCUCCGUGCCGGCCCUAAAUAGGGCAGACCCCCUGCUCUCGCGGGGCUGAAACCAGCCCCCGCUCACGUGGGGGGUGGGCGUGAAGCCCGCAACCCCACCUCCUGGGCAGGCCGGAAGUGGCUUUGCGUGGCGAGUUCCCGCCCCCCACCAGGAUAAAUAAAGACACGAGACACCAUAGCUUAAGGUUAAAUGGGCGAAUUAGGCCACAACUUUAUUGAAUUCAGGAAUGAGAGGCAUUGGCUUAGGCAUUGGUCCUAACGACUAUCCGGCUCCAGCCCAUUUGCUGGAGACAAGGGAAGGGUUAACACUAUAUCGGGGGAGACUCCUGCCAAGGCACGUCGACUAGGAGCUCCCGGGUCACCGCUCAGGGCGUGCCUUUGGCCCACACCUCCAUAGGCUUCGGACAGGGCCACGCCCCGGAGUCCUUUAACGGACCACCCUUCGCUCACUGGGGGGAGGUGAUGGCGUUCCUCCCCCCCCACACAUCCUCUUAACCCCUUCUUACCAAUGCCUACCGCCACACGAGCAAUCGCUCGCCGCCAAUACUCUCAUGCCUGAAACCAAUCCCUUACACCCUUUGCUAUAUCAGUCAGCCACAUGUCAUUUCCCGCAUCUGAAAGAUGCACGCCAUCAAGCCAAAUAUCAUUUCCC